rnacentral:lncRNA from 1 species
AACUUAUCUUAAACAGUUGUUUCUAUCAAAAUUCAGAUUAUGAUUUAUUUGUUAUCAAUAAAAUACGAUUCAUUAAAGUUAGAAUGAAGUCUUUCACAAGGUCACAUAAUGAGCAUACAAUCUGGUCUACUAGCUGUAUGAUAAAAUAAUUAUUCUAUCAUGCUUCAAUACAGCUUUAAAACAAUAGGUCUACUUUGCUCAUCCUUUUCAAAUUCUACAAGAUGGGGUCAUAGACAUACCUUCUUCAUGCCAAUCUUCUAUGAGAGUUUUCUUGUGGACUAACUUUGGUCAAUGAAGAUCCCCUUUCUUGUUUGUCUUAAUUUGGAGUUUGAGAGAAGAUGUUAAUUCAUUCAUCAUACAUGUUUCAAACUCACUUUGCAUGAGCUUAGUAAAAUCUUCAUAUAACUCUUCAUUAGUAGAACCAAAAAUGAUGUCAU